rnacentral:rRNA from 1 species
AGCCACAGCCAUAUCACCCUGCAGCCCAAGACUGGUUGCCCACUGAAGCUAAGCAGGGUUGAGCCUGGUUAGUACCUGGAUGGGAGACCUCCUGGGAAAACUAGGUUGCUAUUGGAG